rnacentral:rRNA from 1 species
AUACGUAGGUGGCAAGCGUUGUCCGGAAUUAUUGGGCGUAAAGCGCGCGCAGGUGGUUCCUUAAGUCUGAUGUGAAAGCCCCCGGCUCAACCGGGGAGGGUCAUUGGAAACUGGGGAACUUGAGUGCAGAAGAGGAUAGUGGAAUUCCAAGUGUAGCGGUGAAAUGCGUAGAGAUUUGGAGGAACACCAGUGGCGAAGGCGACUGUCUGGUCUGUAACUGACACUGAGGCGCGAAAGCGUGGGGAGCAAACAGGAUUAGAUACCCUGGUAGUCCACGCCGUAAACGAUGAGUGCUAAGUGUUGGGGGGUUUCCGCCCCUCAGUGCUGCAGCUAACGCAUUAAGCACUCCGCCUGGGGAGUACGGUCGCAAGACUGAAACUCAAAGGAAUUGGCGGGG